rnacentral:rRNA from 1 species
GCUAAUACCGCAUACGAUCUAAGGAUGAAAGCGGGGGAUCGCAAGACCUCGCGCGAUUGGAGCGGCCGAUAUCAGAUUAGCUAGUUGGUGAGGUAAAGGCUCACCACGGCGACGAUCUGUAGCUGGUCUGAGAGGACGACCAGCCACACUGGAACUGAGACACGGUCCAGACUCCUACGGGAGGCAGCAGUGGGGAAUUUUGGACAAUGGGCGCAAGCCUGAUCCAGCAAUGCCGCGUGCGGGAUGAAGGCCUUCGGGUUGUAAACUGCUUUUGUACGGAACGAAACGGUCUACCCUAAUACGGUGGGCUAAUGACGGUACCG